UUCAGCUCGAAGUCAUACACGGACAAUGCGAUCUCUGAGCUCGAUAUAAAACAUGACAUAACGGUAAAUAACCGUUGAACUAUACAUACAAGAUUUUGGCGCUCUCUAGUGGCCAACCGAAAUCGCCAAAUAAACAAACAGCAGCGAUGGCUCAAGCGAAGGACACGCACAAAUGGACACCAAAGGAGACCAGACGGCUCAUUAAUUUCAGGGCGACCAGGGACAGUGAGUUCCUAAAAUCGAAAAUGAUCGCCAGAAAACAGUGGGAGCUUUUUCUGGAAGAAAUGGGGGUGGAGGGGAAAGUGACCAGGCAACAGGCUUCUAAGAAGUGGGAGAACCUUAAAAAGAAGUACAAGGCCCGCUCUAUCACAGAACGCACCUUGGAUUGGCGGUAAUUAAAGCGCUGCUGCACCCGCCCAAUCACCGGCUCUUUAUAGGGAGUCAACAGACAUACGGGCGUCUGGAGGCAGGGGUACCCACCAUCACCUAAAAGCAUGUAACCCGGCGGUGGAUACCUGGCAGUCAAAUAAAAAUAACUGUUUUUCAUUACCCUUGUCCUUUAUGUUUCUUGGACGGAAUGUAACUGAUAAUUUCGUUGCUCUGUUACAUGUGCAAUGACAACAAAUAAAAUCCUAUCCUAUCCUA
ensembl:lncRNA